AUUGAACGCUGGCGGCAUGCCUUACACAUGCAAGUCGAACGGCAGCACGGGUGCUUGCACCUGGUGGCGAGUGGCGAACGGGUGAGUAAUACAUCGGAACGUACCUUAUCGUGGGGGAUAACGUAGCGAAAGUUACGCUAAUACCGCAUACGAUCUACGGAUGAAAGCGGGGGACCUUCGGGCCUCGCGCGAUUGGAGCGGCCGAUGUCAGAUUAGGUAGUUGGUGGGGUAAAGGCCUACCAAGCCGACGAUCUGUAGCUGGUCUGAGAGGACGACCAGCCACACUGGGACUGAGACACGGCCCAGACUCCUACGGGAGGCAGCAGUGGGGGAAUUUUGGACAAUGGGCGCAAGCCUGAUCCAGCAAUGCCGCGUGCAGGAAGAAGGCCUUCGGGUUGUAAACUGCUUUGUACGGAACGAAAAGGCUCUGGUUAAUACCUGGGCUCAUGACGGUACCGUAAGAAUAAGCACCGGCUAACUACGUG
rnacentral:rRNA from 1 species